AUUGAACGCUGGCGGCAGGCCUAACACAUGCAAGUCGAACGGUAACAGGAAGACGCUUGCUUCUUUGCUGACGAGUGGCGGACGGGUGAGUAAUGUCUGGGAAACUGCCUGAUGGAGGGGGAUAACUACUGGAAACGGUAGCUAAUACCGCAUAACGUCGCAAGACCAAAGAGGGGGACCUUCGGGCCUCUUGCCAUCGGAUGUGCCCAGAUGGGAUUAGCUAGUAGGUGGGGUAACGGCUCACCUAGGCGACGAUCCCUAGCUGGUCUGAGAGGAUGACCAGCCACACUGGAACUGAGACACGGUCCAGACUCCUACGGGAGGCAGCAGUGGGGAAUAUUGCACAAUGGGCGCAGGCCUGAUGCAGCCAUGCCGCGUGUAUGAAGAAGGCCUUCGGGUUGUAAAGUACUUUCAGCGGGGAGGAAGGGAGUAAAGUUAAUACCUUUGCUCAUUGACGUUACCCGCAGAAGAAGCACCGGCUAACUCCGUG
rnacentral:rRNA from 1 species